CCCGUGCACGCCUAGCCACCGCUCCAGGCACUCCCCGUGGAAGCGGUGCCCGCACGGCAUCUCCUUGCCGGCCCCGAACGCGUCGAGGCAGAUCGCGCAGUCGCCCAGCGAGCCCUCGCCCUCGCCGUCCCCGCCGGCGCCCUGGACCUCCUUCAGCGAGGCGAUCGCCGCCUUGGACGCCGGCGGGACGCCGCCGCCGACCUCGCCGGAGAAGAGGUCGCCGCCGAGGAUGAAGUGAUGCACCGUCACCCGCCCGCCGCCCGCCCCCGGCAUUGCGUCCGCGGCCGAGGGCCCCCUCGCCAUCAGCAUGAGCAGCCGCAUGAUGCCGGCCGCCAUGUUGUCGCCGUUCGUCGAGUCCAUGGGAGCGAGGGAGGGAGCCGACAGCGAGAGGGGAGAAGAGGAGGAGCCUCUGCCGGCGAGUUCUCUGUUUUUCUCGUGAGAUGUUGAGCGGAUUUGGAACAG
rnacentral:lncRNA from 1 species